GGAUAACAUACCGAAAGGUAUGCUAAUACGAGAUAAUAUACUUUUAUCGCAUGGUAGAAGUAUCAAAGCUCCGGCGGUACAGGAUGGACCCGCGUCUGAUUAGCUAGUUGGUAAGGUAACGGCUUACCAAGGCGACGAUCAGUAGCCGACCUGAGAGGGUGAUCGGCCACAUUGGAACUGAGACACGGUCCAAACUCCUACGGGAGGCAGCAGUGGGGAAUAUUGCACAAUGGGCGAAAGCCUGAUGCAGCAACGCCGCGUGAGCGAUGAAGGCCUUCGGGUCGUAAAGCUCUGUCCUCAAGGAAGAUAAUGACGGUACUUGAGGAGGAAGCCCCGGCUAACUACGUGCCAGCAGCCGCGGUAAUACGUAGGGGGCUAGCGUUAUCCGGAAUUACUGGGCGUAAAGGGUGCGUAGGUGGUUUCUUAAGUCAGAGGUGAAAGGCUACGGCUCAACCGUAGUAAGCCUUUGAAACUGGGAAACUUGAGUGCAGGAGAGGAGAGUGGAAU
rnacentral:rRNA from 1 species